CCAGGAUCGCACCCUGGGCCAAAGGCAGGCCCCAAACCGCUGCGCCACCCAGGGAUCCCAUCACAAGUUACAGAAAUGGAUAUGAAACUGUACCUGCUGACCCUGGAUCCCAUACCCAGCCUGGCCAGACAGGCAGGGGAAUUUAUACUGAACGUUGUAAGCUUAAAAAAGGAACCAAUAGGGAUUAUUAAGUGGGGAAGUAAUAUAAUUAGAAAAGUGUAUUUAAAAUAAUGAGUUUGAUGAUGAUAUGCAGCUGGGAUUAAAGAAGAGGAAAAUUGAAGUCAGAUAGAUCAUUUAGAAGGGAAGCACAAUUAUCCAGAGGCUUAUGUGGGGCAGAUGAAGGGGCAGGUGUAGCAAAAAAUACAGGAUUUGGAAACAUUUUAAAGGAGAAAUAGAUAUAAAGUUGUUUGCCUAACAUCUCAAGACUAUUGAAAGAUUAACAUAGUCAAAGACUAUUCUAGAUUCUGAGAUUGGGUGACUGGAAAAAUUGAGUUGACCUUGAAAGGAUGGUGAGAGCAUGGCUGGUAUGGGAUGUACAUUUGGGAGCUUUGUGCAUGGGUUGUUAGUGGAGUCGUGAAUAGGGAGGAGUACUUCCAGAGAGGCCAUGGACAGGGAAGGCAGAGGGCCAGAGGUUAUGCUUUGGGAAGACUCCUCAUUCAGAGAGUAGAGGGAGGAGGAGCCAAGAUGCCAACGCAUGACAAAGAGUCGAAGAAGAGUUUGGAUGAAGACCAGUCAGUGAAGGACCAAAGAAGCUAAGUGUAUGUAUGGUAUUGAAAUCAAGUUAUUCCAAAGAUCUUUAUAUUCCCUGGAGUAUUUAAAAUUAAGGGCAAUAUAGACAAUAUUCAAUUUAGCAUGUUUGGUUGAAUAAUAUCAUUAAUAAUAGGGCUGUUUUUAAACUGAAAUUUUUGCAAUUAAGCCAAGGAUGUGACAUGUCCCACAAUAAAGAAGACUAGACACGGUUCCACAAUUAAGAUAAAAAGGCCAGUAAUUAUAGAACAACCAAAUAGGUCUUCAGACAAAGAAAUGUCCUGCUCAGAAAGAAGGUGUUUGGAGCCAGGCCACACAUUUACUCAUCAUUCCUGAAAGUAUGGAUACUUUUAGAACAUCCUGUCCUCAGCCAGCAACCUUGACUUCCAGCUCCUUCUCUAAAAUUGAGGCUCUGGGGAUAGCUACCCUGAAAAUACUGGCUUUUCUCCCAGACUGUGGCAAGUAAAUAUUGCUGGGUUUCUUUUCUUUGAAAAUUGUCAGAUUUUAUUUCUUUUAAGGUCUUAAAACUCAUGUGGCUGUUGCUGGCAUUUAAGCUCCCUCUACAUUGGUGUGUUGCAUUUUACAAAUGUUUAGGCAAGAGCUCACCAAAGUUAAAAAUGAGCUAAGCGGAUAUGCCAAGCACAUGAAACAUCAUAAACAAGAAAAGUGAAAACCUCACAAAACGAAGCUGUUCGGCAAGGAAUCUCACGACGUAGAGCAUGGUCAGCCCCAAAGCCUCCACACUCCAAAGCAAGUACUCUGUGAUAUGGUGACUAUAAUAAGAAAUAUAUGUCUGGUCUUCUUCCCCAUUACUGACAGGGCUCUUAAAACUCCUGGAAUCUCCUAAGUUUUAAGAGUCGUAAGGAUUUCUUAAUAUUUAUAACAAACUCCUUUUAACCACACUUGAGUUUAUGUUAAUGAGGUGACUUUUGGAAAUGAGGACUGAGAAGAAAGGGCCUUGGAGAUUGAGUUCCAUCACCAAAGGCCAAUGAUUUCACCAAUCAUGCCUCUGUACUGAAGCCUUCAUAAAACCCUUCAGAGGCUUGAAGGGCUUCUGGGUUGGUAGAGAGUAGGGAGAGUGACUGCUUGAGAAGGGGCAUGGGAGUGCUCUGCCCUUACCUUGGCCUACUUAGCUCUUCCAUCUAGAUGUUCCUGAGUUCUAUCCUUUGAUGAUCAAUUGGAAAUCUAAUAAAUACAAUGUUUCUCCGAAUUCUGUGAACCGUUGUAGCAAAUUAACCAAACCUAAGGAAGUGGUCACUUGAGCCUUUCAUCUAUUACCAGUGAGUCAGCUAAUGUCUGAAGUGUGUGUGUGUGUGUGUGUGUGUGUGUGUGUGUGUGUGUGUGUAUGGAGGGUGCCAGUCUUGUAGGACUGAGCUCUUAACCUGGGGGGUUUGAUGUUGUGUCCAGAUAGAUGAUGUCACUAUUGAACUGAAUUGUGGGACAUCCAUCUGGUAUCCGAGCAUCACUUGGCAGUAUGGGACUCACCACCAUUGGAACUGGGGCAGAACUCAGACACAAAGGCCAUUUUUACAGACAAUUAUUUCCCAACCCACAAUAAAUUGGAAGAAGUUGUGUGUGUGUGGCUUUGGGUGACCGUGGGCAGUGUGGAGAAAGCCAUUAGAGACAGAGGCAGGAAGAAGACAGAUACAGCAGGGAGAAGCAGAACGGACAGCAUGAUAAUGAAGAGAAAACAAGAAACCCAAACAUGCAGAUGCAAGAACUAAAAUGGGUAAGAUUGUGCAGAGUCCUUUAUUGUCAGAGUAAACAGGGCUGGUUGUCAAAUAUGACCUCUGUCACCCCGGAUGGUAUCACGGCACAGGGCAAAACAAGUUCAGUGGGGACUCUCAGCCAUAACAAAUCAUUUAGAUUAUAUGCCGUAUUUUUCCUGGCAAGAAAUAUAUGCCAUAUUUAAGAAAGCUACCCAUCUAAAAUAGCAUUUUCCAAAAAUGUUUUGAGGACUAUAAAAGUAGAAUUUGGUGACUUCAUAUUUUUAAUUAGCUUACUGUAACCCCACUAAUGCUGGAUAAAUGAAGUUUUACUGUCAUAUAAUUUUCCUGCUGUGUAUAAUGAUGCCACACUGAAUAAUUUGAAAUAGAUGCAAAUUGAAGUUUUCGAACCUCAACAUGAAGAUUUUUUAAAAUUAAAU